UACGGAGGGUCCAAGCGUUAUCCGGAAUCAUUGGGUUUAAAGGGUCCGUAGGCGGUUUUGUAAGUCAGUGGGGAAAGCCCAUCGCUCAACGGUGGAACGGCCAUUGAUACUGCAAGACUUGAAUUACUAGGAAGUAACUAGAAUAUGUAGUGUAGCGGUGAAAUGCUUAGAUAUUACAUGGAAUACCAAUUGCGAAGGCAGGUUACUACUAGUGGAUUGACGCUGAUGGACGAAAGCGUGGGGAGCGAACAGG
rnacentral:rRNA from 1 species